CCCUCUCUCUCUCUCUCUUUCUCUCUUGCUUAGUUUCAAUUCCUUCUCUCUCUCUUUCUCUCUCUACUUGGUUUCCUUUCCUGUUCUCUCUGUUGAGCUUUCUUGAGAAUAGAUAGAGAGAAAAUGAGCAACAUAAGCAUGGUGGAGGCAAAGUUGCCUCCAGGAUUUAGAUUCCAUCCAAAAGAUGAUGAACUUGUGUGUGAUUACUUGUUGAAGAAGAUCACGAAUCAUUCUGAUUCUCUUCUCAUGAUAGAAGUUGACCUCAACAAGUGCGAACCUUGGGAUAUUCCUGAAACAGCAUGUGUGGGGGGAAAAGAAUGGUAUUUUUACAGCCAGAGAGACAGAAAGUAUGCAACAGGACUAAGAACAAAUAGGGCAACAGCAAGUGGGUACUGGAAGGCGACAGGGAAGGAUCGUCCUGUCCUUCGUAAAGGCAACCUUGUUGGCAUGAGGAAGACUUUGGUCUUUUACCAGGGCAGGGCCCCCAAAGGAAGAAAAACUGAUUGGGUUAUGCAUGAGUUUCGUCUUGAGGGAUCUCUUGCUUCCCCUAAGACUUCUCCUCACAAGGAGGAUUGGGUGUUAUGCAGAGCGUUCUACAAAAACAGAGAAGUUGCUGCAAAACCAAGCAUGGGAAGCAGCUAUGAUGACACAGGCUCUCCAUCUCUUCCACCAUUAAUGGAUUCUUACAUCACUUUUGACCAAACUCAA
rnacentral:misc_RNA from 1 species